AACUAUUGCACAAUGGGCGCAAGCCUGAUGCAGCCAUGCCGCGUGUAAUGAAGAAGGCCUUCGGGUUGUAAAGUACUUUCAGCAGUGAGGAAGGUGGGUAUCGUUAAUAGCAUACUCAUUUGACGUUAGCUGCAGAAGAAGCACCGGCUAACUCCGUGCCAGCAGCCGACGGUAAUACGGAGGGUGCGAGCGUUAAUCGGAAUUACUGGGCGUAAAGCGCAUGCAGGUGGUUUGUUAAGUCAGAUGUGAAAGCCCGGGGCUCAACCUCGGAAUUGCAUUUGAAACUGGCAAACUAGAGUACUGUAGAGGGGGUAGAAUUUCAGGUGUAGCGGUGAAAUGCGUAGAGAUCUGAAGGAAUACCGGUGGCGAAGGCGGCCCCCUGGACAGAUACUGACACUCAGAUGCGAAAGCGUGGGGACGCAAACAGGAUUAGAUACCCUGGUAG
rnacentral:rRNA from 1 species